AGAGUUUGAUCCUGGCUCAGGAUGAACGCUGGCGGCGUGCUUAACACAUGCAAGUCGAACGAUUGAAGCUGGAGCUUGCUCCGGCCGAUUUAGUGGCGGACGGGUGAGUAACGCGUGGGUAACCUGCCUCAUACAGGGGGAUAGCAGUUGGAAACGACUGGUAAAACCGCAUAAGCGCACGGUGUCGCAUGACACAGUGUGAAAACACUCCGGUGGUAUGAGAUGGACCCGCGUCUGAUUAGCUAGUUGGCGGGGCAACGGCCCACCAAGGCGACGAUGGGUAGCCGAGCUGAGAGGCUGAUCGGCCACACUGGAACUGAGACACGGUCCAGACUCCUACGGGAGGCAGCAGUGGGGAAUAUUGGGCAAUGGGCGAAAGCCUGACCCAGCAACGCCGCGUGAGGGAAGAAGGCCUUCGGGUUGUAAACCUCUGUCCUUAGUGACGAAGGAAGUGACGGUAGCUAAGGAGGAAGCCCCGGCUAACUACGUGCCAGCAGCCGCGGUAAUACGUAGGGGGCGAGCGUUGUCCGGAAUUACUGGGCGUAAAGGGUGCGUAGGCGGUACUUUAAGUUGGAUGUGAAAUCCCCGGGCUUAACCUGGGGCCUGCAUCCAAUACUGGAGAACUAGAGUGCAGGAGAGGGAAGCGGAAUUCCCAGUGUAGCGGUGAAAUGCGUAGAUAUUAGGAAGAACACCAGUGGCGAAGGCGGCUUUCUGGACUGUAACUGACGCUGAGGCACGAAAGCGUGGGGAGCAAACAGGAUUAGAUACCCUGGUAGUCCACGCUGUAAACGAUGAAUACUAGGUGUAGGGGGUAUCAACUCCCUCUGUGCCGCAGCAAACGCAAUAAGUAUUCCACCUGGGGAGUACGGCCGCAAGGUUGAAACUCAAAGGAAUUGACGGGGGCCCGCACAAGCAGCGGAGCAUGUGGUUUAAUUCGACGCAACGCGAAGAACCUUACCAAGGCUUGACAUCCACUUAAAAGUAUGGAAACAUACCGUGUCUUCGGACGAAGUGAGACAGGUGGUGCAUGGUUGUCGUCAGCUCGUGUCGUGAGAUGUUGGGUUAAGUCCCGCAACGAGCGCAACCCCUAUUACCAGUUACCAGCGAGUAAAGUCGGGGACUCUGGUGAGACUGCCGGGGACAACUCGGAGGAAGGUGGGGACGACGUCAAAUCAUCAUGCCCCUUACGUCUUGGGCUACACACGUGCUACAAUGGCUGCAACAAAGGGAAGCGACAUCGUAAGAUGAAGC
rnacentral:rRNA from 1 species